CAUCGGUGCUAGCGGUGAUGAGAUACGACCAGUAUUAAUGAAGGGAGAUCAACGAGAAUGCUUCCCUUAAUAAAUAGUGCAAAAAAUAAACAAAAUAAUAAAGAAAAAAAUACCCGAUGCGAGUGGUGUGUCUGCCCUCCACCAGGCGGCGCGAUCCCCUUCCCGACUUUUUUCCUUCUCUUUCCCUCUCCUCCUCGCUCAUCCUCCUCCGCUUUCCUUUGUUCCCAGAGGCCGGCCCCAGUGUGGUUUCCGUUGUGCUUGGGAGCAGUCGCGUAGUCGCCCGUGUCCAGCUCCUUCUUUGUUCUUUGUUCCGAAAUCGGUCUUCUUCUUCUUCGGACCCCGAACGUCGCCUCACGCUUCCUGCCUUCGUCAAAGGGCCUCCUUUCGUUCGACACAUUGGGCGCAAGAGCGAGUUGCACGGCUGGCCCUCCGUUUCAAGUGACCUCCUUCAGCUGCGGAUGACCUGUGCUUAAUCAAGACCGCUUGAAUGGCAACUGAGAACUUGCUCCAAGCAAAAAGUGUUUUUAUGAAAUCGUGUUAGCUCGUGCGAAUUCACUGAAUAGGAACAAGUGUGUUUUCAUCGAGACAGCUCUCGUCUGCAAACUUGCAUUGUCGGCCUAAUAAAGUGUGAGGUUAUUAAAAUGUGAGGUAAAAAAGGAAAAAUCUGUUGUUUUGCUGGUGAGGACAAAGCCCCUGCUGUGCACACCUGCGGAAACGAAGUAAGUCCCUUAUCAGUUUGUUCAGAGAUUUGAUUUUUUCCCGUGGUAAUCGUGAAAAA